UACGUAGGGGGCAAGCGUUGUCCGGAUUUAUUGGGCGUAAAGAGCGUGUAGGCGGUUUGGUAGGUCCGCUGUGAAAACUCGAGCUCAACUUCGAGACGCCGGUGGAAACCAUCAGACUAGAGUCCGGAAGAGGAGAGUGGAAUUCCGUGGAUGUAGCGGUGAAAUGCGCAGAUAUCAGGAAGAACACCCGUGGCGAAGGCGGUUCUCUGGAACGCAACUGACGCUGAGACGCGAAAGCGUGGGGAGCAAACAGG
rnacentral:rRNA from 1 species